rnacentral:rRNA from 1 species
ACGUAGGGUGCAAGCGUUAAUCGGAAUUACUGGGCGUAAAGCGUGCGCAGGCGGUUGUGCAAGACAGAUGUGAAAUCCCCGGGCUUAACCUGGGAACUGCAUUUGUGACUGCACGGCUAGAGUGUGUCAGAGGGGGGUAGAAUUCCACGUGUAGCAGUGAAAUGCGUAGAUAUGUGGAGGAAUACCGAUGGCGAAGGCAGCCCCCUGGGAUAACACUGACGCUCAUGCACGAAAGCGUGGGGAGCAAACAGGAUUAGAUACCCUGGUAGUCCACGCCCUAAACGAUGUCAACUAGUUGUCGGGGAUUCAUUUCCUUGGUAACGCAGCUAACGCGUGAAGUUGACCGCCUGGGGAGUACGGUCGCAAGAUUA